rnacentral:lncRNA from 1 species
UUGAAAACUACUGAACAAAAAUAAUCUUAAGUUCCAAAUCUGUUUCUUAGAAUACUCUUUUAGAAUUUAGAAUAGUCUUUGAACAAUGAAAGGGAGGAAAGGAACAGUAUAAUAGCUCGAGGAAGUUAUAGGUAAAAUGUAAUUCAUCUGUUAGGUUUAGGCAGAUUUAAACUUGUUUGAAGGUCAAAGACAACAAGCAAGUAGAAGGGGAAUUGAGGAUGAAGGAAGGAAAAUCUCCACAUUUUCUCAGAAUAGCUCACUGAGAACCUUGGAAGAUGGGACAGAAGAGGACAGCCCAAAUUCAGGUGGAGUGAUGCUCUGUAAUGAGUAGAACCACAGGCAGAACACCCCUGCUGAGAGCCAUCAGGCCAUGAUGUAUUGACAUGGUCACUUGUGGAAGCCAGAAGAUCACAAAGUGGCUCCUUGGCAGAAUGGAAUCAUCCACUCAGCCCCCUCUAUGAUGAAAUGGGAACUCAAAAGAGAAGUGAUUCGCCUAAGGUCAUCCAGUUCCUGAGCAGCAAAGAAAGGACUAGAGUCCAAACCUUCAGAUUAGUCAUGGAAGUUCAAUGUUGAGACAAAAGUCAAGACAUCUGGCAAUGGCUCAGGAUG